GAUGAACGCUGGCGGCGUGCCUAAUACAUGCAAGUCGAGCGAACAGAUAAGGAGCUUGCUCCUUUGACGUUAGCGGCGGACGGGUGAGUUAGACGUGGAUAACCUACCUAUAAGACUGGGAUAACUUCGGGAAACCGGAGCUAAUACCGGAUAACAUAUUGAACCGCAUGGUUCAAUAGUGAAAGGCGGCUUUGCUGUCACUUAUAGAUGGAUCCGCGCCGUAUUAGCUAGUUGGUAAGGUAACGGCUUACCAAGGCAACGAUACGUAGCCGACCUGAGAGGGUGAUCGGCCACACUGGAACUGAGACACGGUCCAGACUCCUACGGGAGGCAGCAGUAGGGAAUCUUCCGCAAUGGGCGAAAGCCUGACGGAGCAACGCCGCGUGAGUGAUGAAGGUCUUCGGAUCGUAAAACUCUGUUAUCAGGGAAGAACAAAUGUGUAAGUAACUGUGCACAUCUUGACGGUACCUGAUCAGAAAGCCACGGCUAACUACGUG
rnacentral:rRNA from 1 species